rnacentral:rRNA from 1 species
UACGAAGGGGGCUAGCGUUGUUCGGAAUCACUGGGCGUAAAGCGCACGUAGGCGGAUCUUUAAGUCAGGGGUGAAAUCCCGAGCUCAACCUCGGAACUGCCUUUGAUACUGGGGAUCUCGAGUCCGGGAGAGGUGAGUGGAACUGCGAGUGUAGAGGUGAAAUUCGUAGAUAUUCGCAAGAACACCAGUGGCGAAGGCGGCUCACUGGCCCGGAACUGACGCUGAGGUGCGAAAGCGUGGGGAGCAAACAGG